CAGUGAAGCCUUCUUCAGUGGAGAUUCGAGUGGAAGACUGCGUAACUGCACAAGCUGAACCAUGGAGUACAAGGCAAACAGCAAUUGCAGCAUUCCUGACUGUUCUAGUUACUGUAAUAGCCGGGGCCACUGCUGUCGACCUUUACAUGGGUUCGAAGCCGAAAGCUGCGCAGAAAGGUGGUAUCCUACUAAGGGUCAUCGUGGCAUUCUCGGCAGCGACCAACACGCGUUCAUUGUUCCAUGUGGCCGAUAGGACCAACCCCGACCAAUACUCCCUGAGCUUCUUGCACGGCAUACGUUCCAUCUGCGUGGGACACAUUGUUCUCGGUCAUUGCUACCAGGCACUAUCACAUACUUGGGGUGAGCCCGUUGUGUUUUCUUUCUGUCUUUGUG